CUGAGCAGGGCUGAAGUCAUAGAAAAUAUGUAGCUUUUCAAAACAGCAAUGCCAAUAGGAAGAGAGGAAAGAGAGAGAGAGGGUGUAUGUGAGAGAGAGAAUGAAGUGCUGAAAUUAAGCAGCAGCCAGCUGACUGACUCCAGAGGAAUUUAAUAUUCACGCUCCCAACUCAUUUCAUAAUUUCUACUUCAAAGAGAGAGAGAGAGAGAGAGGGCAUUGGGGAGAGCAUGAGUGGAAAGAGAGUUGUUCCGUGUCAUUUCAGCAAGCCAUGACAGCCACCAUCUCAGAUUUUUCUGAAAUCGUUUCUGCAGCAAAAAGCAGGUAAGAUUGGCCUUCAUGAAACAUUACUUGGUAAAAAUGUAUUUGAUCUAUGAAAAAUGUAUCUAAUUGAUUGCACCAAAAUUGUUUACUUUAAUUGAUUGAAUUCAGAAAACAUUCAAUAAAUACAGUACCCAACAUCCAAUUUAGACCAAACUUCUUCUUACCAAUGAGUAAGACAUGAGGAGCGGUCAAAACCACACCCCAUGCCAAUUCAACCCCAACAACAAGUAUACAGUAUCAGUUCUCUGUGUUUGACAAGUAGUAUGAAGCUGUGGCUUGGAGUAUUGCUUCUCCAUACUAUGUAAUGCAUUCAUGUGAAUCUGGUGAUGUUUUCUUCCCCUGUUCAGAGAAAUCAGUAAUUGAAGUUACUUGCAUUAUUUACCAUGAAGUAGUGUGAAAGUACCAUGUUUUGACCACUAAAUACUGCUGUUCCUGCUGCACCGCCACACUAUUAUAUACAUUUUGCUGGUCUCUUGUGUUUAUUAAAUAGACCACAACAUUUCCUUUAAAACUUUGUGUAGAAAACCAAUACAUUUGGCUCAUGGUAAAAAUACAUUUUGUGUUCACCCUCACAAUUCAAGCCAGUCCUCCAUGAAAGCAAUUCAGUUAGUCCUAGCAAGAAGUUUGGUCAAAAUCGGAUCUAUUGAAUAUGGGAUCUGAAUCCUAUGAAUUAAAAUGGCCAAUUUGGGUGCAAUCAAUUAGCUUCAUUUCUCAGAGAUCAAAUUAUAUUUCAACAAAUGAUGUUACAGGAAUGUCAAUCUUACUUGUUUUUAACUACAGAAACGAUUUCAAAACAAUCUGAGAUGGUGGGUUUCCCGGAUUGGUGAAAUGACAUGGAACGACUCUCUGCCCACUCCUGCUCUCUAGAAUCCCCCGCCUCCUCUCUCUCUCUCUCUCUCUCUCUCUCUCUCUCUCUCUCUCUCUCUCUCUCUCUCUAUCUCUCUCUCUCUCUCUCAUUGGCACUGCUACUUAAUUUGAAAAGCUGCAUAAACUCUGGCAUAUUUUCUAUGACUUCAGCCCUGCUCAGAAACCUGCUCGACCUGUCUGGCCUAGCGACUGCUCUGGCCUGGGUCUGGAGUAUACGAUGCUAACCACAUCUGUUAUUAACUGCAGAAACGAUUUCAGAAAAAUCUGAUGAUGAUCUGUGCUUCUGUCCACAACCAAGCAAGGCCUACAGCAGCACCUACAUCUUCUGCACAGAUUCUGUCAGACUUAGGCCCUGACAGUUAAUCUCAGCAAGACAAAAAUAAUGGUGUUCCAAAAAAGGUCCAGUUGCCGGCAUCAGUACAACACGCCUGACACUCCUCCACCAGUCAUACAAGGAGAAUGGUCUACUGCCUCCCAUCAAAAAAAGAGCUGGCCCAAGCAAGCACAAGUUACACCUGAAGCAUGAGGACUUGCAGCGAGCAUAAUGCAAUAGUAUUACAAGGAUACCACCCAGGGCACAAACACUUUUGUGGACUAGAUGGUACGGUGCUGGUGGAAAGCUAUGGCUGGCAACACCAGACUCCAUACUUCAGGCUGUGGCCACAGAUCAAGCAGUACCAGCACUUCAAACGAUUGUAUGAGGUUAUUCUUCUUAUCUAAACUUGGGAGGUGAAUUGAUGUUGUGCAAGGUUGUAAUGUCUUCAAAUUUUUUGUUUGUUAUUUCCUGUUUUACUUCUUUGAUGCUCUGGAGCCUGGGUUGUUGUCUGACAUCCUUCCUCCCAUAGAUGGUCUGUCUGUACAAGCACCACCUGGACUGGACACCUGGGCUAGACAAACUUACCUGGAAUGUUUCCUUAUUGUAGGCUACUACUUUUACCACUUUUAGUCUUAAUCUUUACUACACUACUCACUGUUUAGCACAUAACCUCAUAUGUGAAUCCUUAAAGAGAUGGGUGGGG